GGGGGUGUAGCUCAAUGGUAGAGCAUUUGACUGUGGAUCAAGAGGUCUUUGGUUCAAUUCCAAAUGCCCCCU